AUUGAACGCUGGCGGCAGGCUUAACACGUGCAAGUCGAGCGGGGUGAUGGUGCUUGCACUAUCACUUAGCGGCGGACGGGUGAGUAAUGCUUAGGAAUCUGCCUAUUAGUGGGGGACAACAUCUCGAAAGGGAUGCUAAUACCGCAUACGUCCUACGGGAGAAAGCAGGGGAUCUUCAUGACCUUGCGCUAAUAGAUGAGCCUAAGUCGGAUUAGCUAGUUGGUGGGGUAAAGGCCUACCAAGGCGACGAUCUGUAGCGGGCCUGAGAGGAUGAUCCGCCACACUGGGACUGAGACACGGCCCAGACUCCUACGGGAGGCAGCAGUGGGGAAUAUUGGACAAUGGGGGGAACCCUGAUCCAGCCAUGCCGCGUGUGUGAAGAAGGCCUUAUGGUUGUAAAGCACUUUAAGCGAGGAGGAGGCUCUUUUGGUUAAUACCCAGAAUGAGUGGACGUUACUCGCAGAAUAAGCACCGGCUAACUCUGUGCCAGCCGCCGCAGUAA
rnacentral:rRNA from 1 species